rnacentral:tRNA from 1 species
GUUCUUGUAGUUGAAUAACAACGGUG